GAUUCCCCUAGUAACUGCGAGUGAAGCGGGAAAAGCUCAAAUUUGAAAUCUGGCAGUCUUUUUUUUCUUCUUUGGCUGUCCGAGUUGUAAUCUAGAGAAGUGCUUACCUGCGCUGGACCAUGUAUAAGUCUCCUGGAAUGGAGCCUCACAGAGGGUGAGAAUCCCGUCUUUGACAUGGACCGCCAGUGCGUUGUGGUGCGCUCUCAAAGAGUCGAGUUGUUUGGGAAUGCAGCUCUAAACGGGUGGUAAACUCCAUCUAAAGCUAAAUAUUGGCGAGAGACCGAUAGCGAACAAGUACCGUGAGGGAAAGAUGAAAAGGACUUUGGAAAGAGAGUUAAACAGUAUGUGAAAUUGUUGAAAGGGAAACGCUUGAAGUCAGUUAUGUCGGCUGGGGAUCAACCUAGCCAUCUUUUUGGCUGGGUGAAUUUCCUAGUCUGACAGGCCAACAUCAGUCUUGACUGCCGGAAAAGAGCGGAGGGAAUGUGGCACCUUUGGGUGUGUUAUAGCCCUCUGUCAUAUGCGGCAGUCGGGACUGAGGGAUGCAGCGUGCCGCGAGGCUGGGUUUCGACCACGUUCACGCUUAGGAUGUUGGCUUUUAAUGGCUCCAAUCGACCCGUCUUGAAACACGGACCAAGGAGUCUAACAUGCCUGCGAGUGUUUGGGUGGAAAACCCUUGUGCACAAUGAAAGUGAAAGUUGAGAUCCCCGUCAUGGGGAGCAUCGACGCCCGGACUUGAGCUUUUAGCGACGGAUCCGCGGUAGAGCAUGCAUGUUGGGACCCGAAAGAUGGUGAACUAUGCCUGAAUAGGGCAAAGCCAGAGGAAACUCUGGUGGAGGCUCGUAGCGAUUCUGACGUGCAAAUCGAUCGUCAAAUUUGGGUAUAGGGGCGAAAGACUAAUCGAACCAUC
rnacentral:rRNA from 1 species